rnacentral:rRNA from 1 species
UACGGGGGGAGCAAGCGUUGUUCGGAUUUACUGGGCGUAAAGGGCGCGUAGGCGGCCACGACAAGUCACUUGUGAAAUCUCCGGGCUUAACUCGGAAAGGUCAAGUGAUACUGUCGGGCUAGAGUACAGAAGGGGCAACUGGAAUUCUCGGUGUAGCGGUGAAAUGCGUAGAUAUCGAGAGGAACACCUGCGGCGAAAGCGGCUUACUAGACGACAACUGACGCUGAGGCGCGAAAGCUAGGGGAGCAAACAGG